rnacentral:rRNA from 1 species
AGAACGAACGCUGGCGGCAGGCUUAACACAUGCAAGUCGAACGCUUUGUAGCAAUACAGAGAGUGGCGCACGGGUGAGUAACGCGUGGGAACGUGCCUUUUAGUUCGGGAUAACCACUGGAAACGGUGGCUAAUACCGUAUACGCCCUUCGGGGAAAGAUUUAUCGCUAAAAGAUCGGCCCGCGUUAGAUUAGGUAGUUGGUGGGGUAAUGGCCUACCAAGCCUACGAUCUAUAGCUGGUCUGAGAGGAUGAUCAGCCACACUGGAACUGAGACACGGUCCAGACUCCUACGGGAGGCAGCAGUGGGGAAUAUUGGACAAUGGGCGCAAGCCUGAUCCAGCCAUGCCGCGUGAGUGAUGAAGGCCUUAGGGUUGUAAAGCUCUUUUGUCAGGGAAGAUAAUGACGGUACCUGAAGAAUAAGCACCGGCUAACUUCGUGCCAGCAGCCGC